ACAUUCCGAAGUUCUGUGAAAAGAGGCACUAGCGCUCAGCCACGCAAGGCAGGAAAACAGAGGAAGUUUUCGCAUUCUGAUUGCAGCCUGAGUUCCCCGGAGCAAGGCUGCUUCUCUCCACCCACUCCUCACCAAGAACUCCUGAACUUGAGGGUGGACGACUUCAAAGCUAGCUCCCACAGACUCACCUGGAAAAGAGUUCAGCUGCGCGUUCAUUGAACCGAGAGGCCAGAUCACCUAUGUGAGGCGGUGGGAACCAUAUGGAGAUUUAUAUUAGAACUUCAGCAAAGUGCACAGCUGCAGCCGGCAGAAGCCAGCUCUCGGGCUGACAGGCAAAUGAACCAGAUCGUGGACGGGGCCUCUGGGUGGCAGCUCCGGCCUUUUGGUUGUUGGACAACUAUAGUCAGAACUGAAAUGGAACAGGGGCAGGAGAAAUAACACACUUUUACUCCACGCAACUGUUGCUUUCACAUGAUCUUCAGGAAUGUAACUGGGAUAAUUGUCCAAAUCGAAUCCCAUGCCCUGUCAUGGUACUGAUUAUUAAGGUGACUAUAUGAAAGAAUCACUCCAAAAUAACACACACCAGAAUAGGAGUCCUGUCUUAACUGAGCAAUAUACACUAUGGAGAGAUCCUUCAAAACCCGUCGGGAUGAAUAACAGAUGAAUUCAUAAACUGUUCAUCUCUGUUAUCCUGAAUGGUCACUCAGACAACAUUUUACUCAACUAUAAAGGCAUUUGAACUGGUCGAACAGGACGACAGAGCAGUGAGCAUGAGAUCAUUGCAGCCGAGUAGCAAACUGGCACCCAGCCUUUUCACCCCUUCGGUUCGGGAGACGAACGUGUGCAGUCCUCGUUUCUCAAGUCAGCCUGGAAGGAUUCCGGGACUCUCCCACCUUCUACCAUUCUGCUGCCAGUCGGUGGCAACGAUUGGUGCAGAUUCUGCGCAGUGCUUUGUGCCUGGAAUAUGGAGAAGGAAGAGAAUGAAGACAAGCCCUCUGGACCUCCUUCUCUGAGAAAUACUGGGAGCCCAGAAG
rnacentral:lncRNA from 1 species